UGGGGUGUUCUGCUCUGGCGGCAGCGGCAGCGGCGGCGGGACGCGGAGGCUCCCCCGGGAUUCGGCCUCAGCAGCGAGGCGGCGGCGGCGGCUGCGGAGGCGCAGGCAGCAACUGAGGCAGCGGCAGGCUCAGGUGCAGCCGCUGGCACAGCUUGCCCUGAAGACUCGGCUACUGCCUUCUGUGGGAGUUUCGCUUCGUACAGAGGACAAGUUUGUGCUUUGGUUUCCAGUGUUUUACUUUGGAGUUUAGGUGCCAUAUCCUGAGGUUUUUUUUGUUUUUGUUUUUGUUUCUCCUUUAUUUAAAGUUUGCUGUGUUUGUAACCAGUGUGUGUUGAGAAGGACCAACACCAAACCACCCUGGGGAAGGGGGACAGGGAAACAUUUAACACAGACGAUGAUCAGGAUUUGCCCCAAACCACCCCAAGAGAGAGGACUGAGUGGAACAAAAAAGUGACCCCCAGAACCUCUCUUAGUGUGAGGGUGGGUAGAAUGAGAACUGACACCUGGGAGCUGUGGGGAGCAGAGCGGCUUUGGGGAAGAGUGGAGUGACUAGACACCUAAUGCCCUGGCAGCUGGAGACUCAAACUCCUGUACAGCUACCUUCUGGGAAAUAGUUUUUGACACCUAUUUUUCAGAUUCUUGUCCGGAAUUUCUGCUGCUCUUUUCAAAAAAGGGCAUUAACAAUUCUCUGGAAAUAAAGCACCUGUUAGCCUGACAUAUGCAAAAAGCAGGGCGGCAUCACCCAUUACGAGCUCCCCCAGCCAGCAGUCAGUAUUGGAUUGGCCUUGCCUGGCUGGUGGCAGUUUGGGAGAAACAGCCAAAGAGGUUAGUUUAUUUCAACACCAAAUUAGACCAUGGCCCAUUUCCAACGGGUCUCUUUAAAGGCCUCUAUGGAAUACAUUGCCUGGUUUCCUUCUUUGCAGUUCACCACAGCAAGGAAUGUCACCUCCAUCCCAAGCCACCAUUUUCUCAUGAAGGCAAAUCCAAGAAGGGCUUGCAGUUCUUGCUGAAGGGGGUACCAUUUGUGGGCAGAGUGAUCAAUACCAUCUAGUUGGGGGAGGAGGAGCUUAUUUCUUGGUGUACUUGAAUCAGAAGGUCCCUGCAAGCCAGUAUGCUUCAUUUGCCAGUGGCCAGAAAUUCUCCCUUGCCUCCUUGAUUGAGGUGUCCCAGAUGUAGUAUUCCCACAGGGGUCUGGCAGGCCCCUCCUGUAACCACUCCAGUCACAUUUUCUGCUCUUGAGGCAGAGGUGACAUCAGGACGUUUACAGCCUCCACAUGAAUUGAGUGUUCAUUUACCUCAGUAUUACCGUGUUCAUUUUUGUCCUCGUGCUACAGUUAGCUCCCUGCCGCCUCUUGCAGGUCUUACUUCAGCUCUUGCCUGUGACCCACACAGCUUCUGGGCUCUGCCUCUGCUCUAAGAAGUGCUGUGGGGGUAGAGAACCAGGAAGGACAUGCUGUUGGGAAUGUACACCUGGGCAGAGGUGGCCCUGUUAAGAUGUGACUGUAGCCACAGCCAGGGAUGGGAUCCCUGGGUCUCUGGAAUCUGAAACCUCAACAAAUACCAGUCUUGACCCCUAGCAGCAGAGAUAAGAAUAAAGGGGUUGGUUUGCUAUUAAGUCAGAUGGGGGCUCUCUCCUUGUCAUGCUGUCCCUGUGGGUAACAGACAGGGAUUGACCAUCUUACUGUUGUACAGGUAGCUGGUGGUGUUGGAUUAUCCCAUUGAAGCUGGGACAGCUGUUCCUUUCUCAUAGUGAUAACUUGGGUCUGUUGUCCUCUAAGGAACGUGAAACAUACACUUCUUAAGCUGAACCACGUAAACUUGAAAUUCUGCGCACUGGGAGAAAUGUGUCCUGUGUUUCAAAGGAUAAAACUGUUCUAAAGGCUUCCAGGGUCAUGAUGGGAUUUUUUAAAUAAAUGC
rnacentral:lncRNA from 1 species